rnacentral:rRNA from 1 species
GAUGAACGCUGGCGGCGUGCUUAACACAUGCAAGUCGAACGAAGCACUUUAUUAUGAUUUCUUCGGAAUGACGAUUUAGUGACUGAGUGGCGGACGGGUGAGUAACGCGUGGGUAACCUGCCUUAUACAGGGGGAUAACAGUUAGAAAUGACUGCUAAUACCGCAUAAGCGCACAGGAUUGCAUGAUCUAGUGUGAAAAACUCCGGUGGUAUAAGAUGGACCCGCGUCUGAUUAGCUAGUUGGUGAGAUAACAGCCCACCAAGGCGACGAUCGGUAGCCGGACUGAGAGGUUGAACAGCCACAUUGGGACUGAGACACGGCCCAGACUCCUACGGGAGGCAGCAGUGGGGAAUAUUGCACAAUGGGGGAAACCCUGAUGCAGCGACGCCGCGUGGAGGAAGAAGGUCUUCGGAUUGUAAAACUCCUGUUGUUGAGGAAGAUAAUGACGGUACUCAACAAGGAAGUGACGGCUAACUACGUGCCAGC